AACGCACGAGACCUGCGGACCUGCGGAAGGAUCAUUAAUGAGAAGCUGCCCCUCGUGGGUAGACCUCCCACCCUCUGUGGACUUACCUUUGUUGCUUUGGCAGGCCCGUCCUCUGGACCGCCGGCUUCGGCUGGCCCGUGCCUGCCAGAGGAUUCCAAACCCUGUCUGUCAGUGUUGUCUGAGUCUAUAUGAAAUCGUUAAAACUUUUAACAAUGGAUCUCUAGAUCGGAAGAGCACACG
rnacentral:misc_RNA from 1 species